rnacentral:lncRNA from 1 species
GGCCAACAAAUUUAGGACAAGCCUCCCUCCCCAUGCUGCAGUGGAGGAAACGGAAGCUUUAGGAAGAGAAGUGCCUUCUACAAGCUCCACGGCUGGAAAAUGGGCAAAGUCAGGACUCAAACCCUGGUGACUCCAGGGCCCCAGGCCUGGGAAAAAGGGUGGCGUGACCCUGUGAACUUCAGCUCUAUUGCCCACGAACAUGGUGGACCAUAAAGAAAACCACCCACGGUGGUUGCUGCCUGCAACACAUCCCGAUGUGCCUGCCCUGAUCCUGGGUCUCCCCAGGGACCCCACAAUCACAGGACACACACAUGGGAGAAGGUCUCACAAGAUAAAGAGAUUUAUCCACUUGAAGAUGUUUGUUUCUCCACAACCAGGAGCUGUUUCCAAGAACCCACUCAGCACAAGAAGGCAGCUUCUACUUCCGGUGAUUUCAUCGCUGACCAAUCAGCACUCCCGGCUCACUGGCUUCCCCCCACCCACCAAGUUGUCCUUAAAAACCCUG